AUUACUCCUUGACUUCACCCUUCUACCCUCUUCCUCCUUCUCCAAGGCUCUCUUCACCUUCUCCCUCGACAUUAUAAAGCUCUGCGUAUUCGCACAAAUACUAUGAUAUGCCGUGAACUCUCCACUCACGAACUAUACUUAAACAAUUCUAAACAAAAUACUGAAGACAGCUACACAGAGUGCCCCUCUCCUAACUGUUUACCCAGUUA
rnacentral:lncRNA from 1 species